GAUGAACGCGGCGGCGUGCCUAACACAUGCAAGUCGAACGGAGAUUACAGACGGAAGUUUUCGGAUGGAAGUUUGUAAUUCUUAGUGGCGGACGGGUGAGUAACGCGUGGGCAACCUGCCCUAUACAGGGGGAUAGCAGCUGGAAACGGCUGGUAAGACCGCAUAAGUCGGUUAAAUCGCAUGAUUUGAUCGGGAAAUGAGCAAUCAGGUAUAGGAUGGGCCCGCGUCCGAUUAGCCAGUUGGCAGGGUAAAAGCCUACCAAAGCGACGAUCGGUAGCCGGACUGAGAGGUCGGACGGCCACAUUGGGGCUGAGACACGGCCCAAACUCCUACGGGAGGCAGCAGUGGGGGAUAUUGCACAAUGGAGGAAACUCUGAUGCAGCGACGCCGCGUGAGUGAAGAAGUAUUUCGGUA
rnacentral:rRNA from 1 species